AUCAGCUGUCUGGUCACAUGAUGGCUACCGACGGCAUCAGCUGAUUGACAUGAUCAAAUUUCAGCUGUGAAGUGUGGUGUCUCACAACUGGGACUUCACCAGACCAAAGUCUGCGAAAGUUGGGUGAAUUAAGAGUUGAAAACCCCUCACCUCCAAGGCGAUCUAUUCGCUUUCGUCAUUCAUAUCUUGGACAGCAAUAAAAAAUACCUUUUUUAUUAUUGGGCCAAAGGAAGUCAAGUGCUGAUGGAGGCAGACACACUUGAAGACCAGCUUCUCCACUAUGCUAAAGAGGGUAGUUGUUCUCAUAUUCAUAGGCUCCUUCAGUCGAGGAUCGACAACAGCAUCUCUCUCAACAUCAACUGCAAAUCAAAGGCUACAGUCAAUUCAGGAUGGACACCCCUCCAUCUGGCUUGUUACUUUGGACACAGGGGUGUUGUGGAGGAGUUACUCAAGGCAGGUGCUGAUGCAAAUUUGCAGGAUAACAUGGGUGACACUCCUCUACACAAAGCAGCUUACACUGGAAGGAAGGAGAUUGUUCUGUUGCUGCUGCGCUAUGAUGCCUGUUCCAACAUAAUCAAUGGAACAGCUCAAAUCCCUAAAGAUGUCACAGAAGAUGAUGAAAUCAUUACAAUGCUGGAGGCUGCAGAGAGGCGAGAGACAAGGCGGCGGGAGGAGAAGCUUCUGGAAGCAGCCAGGGAGGGGGACAUCUCCACACUGUCUAAGCUGCUCAGUGGAAAAGAAGCUCCAGAUAUUCACUGCAGGGACCCAGUGGGGAAUACGCCCUUGCACUGUGCCGCCUACAGAGGGCAGAAGCAGUGCAUGAUAAGGCUGCUCAAGUCUGGAGCCAGCUCCAGCAUUAAAAACAACAGUGACCAAACGGCAUUAGACCUGGUCCGCAGUGAUGAACUGAGACUCAUUCUAGCAGCCUAUCAAGAUAAGGAUGUGAGCAGUGGGGUGCAGAAGAUUGAAGGCACUCUUUGGAAGAGUUCACGCUUUCUUGGGUGGCGAUCCCACUGGGUGGUAAUUGAGGAUGGAACUCUCUCCUGGUACCCCAGACAGGCUGAUGUGCUGGCUGGUGUGAGAAAACAGGGCUUCAAAUCUCUAACACAGGCCUACUGCAUGGUCAAACCAUGGGAUCAUUGCUUCUUCAUGCUCCGGUGCUUUGAUGACACUGAGCUUUCCUUUAAGGUCCCCUCAAAGACGGAUUCAAUAGCAAUAAGAAAAAGGUGGCUGGAUGCUUUUGAGGCACAUUCAUCCUAUAGCACUCGCCACAGCACCCGAGAACAGGUUAUCAAGGAUGCAGUUGGUGAUUGCGAAGUGACAGUGAGGAGUCUGUCGCAAGCCCUUCAGGCAGCCCACACUUUCCAGCAGAAAUUGGAGAGUGAAGUGUCGAUAUUUCUAUCGAUGGUGAAGAAUGACGAGAAUUGUGCAUUGGCUGCCCCUCUUUUACUGAAAGCCAAAGAGACGAGUGUGCUCUCCGGUGAAACCUGUGCCGCUCUCCACCUGUGCCUUGAACUGCUGUCAAAACAAGAGGAGGUGUGGAGCCUGAAGUUAGAGCAGGAGGUGGAGAAGAACAAAGCUCUGACAAAGGCUCUGCAGACACUGGCCACUGAGCGCCACGAACAGUCCCCAUGUAAGAGCAGGAGGUCAUCUACCCACAGUACCCUCAACGAAGAUGACUUCUAUGACGCUUUGUCAGAGUCGGAGUCGGAGCUCUCUGUGAGCGGCUUCCUGUCUGUGGCCAGUCACUCCUGUGAAGAGGACGAGGGGAGAGACACCCCCCUUCGCAGCAGCCUCCGCCAUCCCAGAGCACUCAGGGGACCUACCGGAAUGUCAGGGGAAGGUAACCAUGGCAACCAACCAGCCCAGUGCAAUGGAGUCAAGAAGCACAGAACAUCUCUACCGACUCCAAUGUUCUCCAGGAAUGAGGUCAGCAUCUGGAGUAUCCUGAAAAAAUGCAUCGGCAUGGAGUUGUCAAAGAUUGCCAUGCCUGUGAUUUUUAAUGAGCCUCUGAGUUUCCUCCAGCGGUUGACAGAAUACAUGGAGCACACCUACCUCAUCCACCAGGCCAAUGCCACAACAGACUCUGUCGAGAGGAUGAAGUGUGUUGCAGCAUUUGCUGUGUCAGCUGUAGCAUCGCAGUGGGAGAGGACUGGGAAACCCUUCAACCCACUGCUGGGGGAGACCUAUGAGCUCAUCAGAGAUGAUUUGGGCUUUAGGUGGGUGUCAGAGCAAGUAAGCCAUCACCCUCCGGUCAGUGCCUUUCAAGCUGAGGGCCUCAAGGAGGAUUUCAUCUUCCAUGGCUCCAUCUACCCUAAAGUCAAGUUUUGGGGAAAGAGCAUAGAAGCUGAGCCCAAGGGAAUCAUCACACUAGAGCUGCCCAAGUAUAACGAGGCCUACACCUGGACAAACCCCACCUGUUGUGUCCACAAUAUCAUUGUCGGUCAGCUUUGGAUUGAGCAGUACGGCAGCAUGGAAGUGAUCAACCACAAGACUGGAGAGAGAUGCAGCAUGAUGUUCAAGCCCUGUGGCCUCUUUGGAAAAGAGCUCCAUAAAGUGGAGGGAUACAUCCUAGAUAAAAGCAAAAAGAAGCUGUGUGCAAUAUAUGGCAAGUGGACUGAAUGUCUAUACACAGUAGACCCAGCAACCUUUGAAGCUCACAAAAAGACUGACAAAAAGAAUGCUGAUGAAAAAAAGGGCAAUAAACAGAGCAGUGUGGAUGAGGAGCCAGAAGAGAUGCCUCCACCUGAUGCUGAGACAGUCAUGGUCAUCCCAGGCAGUGAGCUCAUCUGGAAAAUAACGCCUCGACCAGAGAACUCAGCAAAGUUCUACGCUUUCUCCACAUUCGCUAUGCACCUAAAUGAGCUGGAGAAGAACAUGGAGGGAGUUAUUCCCCCAACAGAUAGUCGCCUCAGACCUGACAUUCGCGCCAUGGAGAAUGGAGAUAUAGAUUUGGCGAGCGCAGAGAAGAAGAGGCUUGAGGAAAAACAGAGAAUGGCCCGGAAAAAUCGCACCAAAUCAACAGACGAAUGGAAAACAAGGUGGUUUCAGCAAGGGUCGAAUCCUCACAACAAAGCUCAGGACUGGCUCUACUUGAAAGGCUACUGGGACAGGAACUACACUCACAUGCCUGACAUCUAUUAAUAAUACACCCAAAUACCAUACACAUGGAUAUCUACUUUUACCACCUUUGGACUUUACCUGCUGUACUGGGGUUUUUGCUAGGACUCCCUAGCAUGUGCAACAAUAAUGGAGAUGGUACAGAACAGCAGUUUAUGGCCAGUAAAAUGUUACCGCAGCUGACAAGGAUCAUGGCCAGUGCUGCAACAAUAAGACUUUGGUUUUUACAACAAAAUAAGUGUUUGAAAUAUCAUUUAGUCCUAAACUAUGUACGUAUAGAGACUGACAGCAUUGCACUUAAGUCUCCCUGACUCUGUAGAUAAAGUAGCUCUUUUUUCUAACUAUACUAAAGCAAGGACACUGGCUCUGCACUUAUAGGUGUGUGUGUGUGCGUGUGUGUGUAUAAAGGUCUUGGCAUAGUUAAAUAUAAUUACCUAUAUUCCUAUUGGUCUAACUGAAAUCUAUCACAAUAAUUGCAUGUGCAUCACAAACUAUGCAAGCCUUACCUCAUUCACAAUCAAAUACUGAAUACUACUUUUUUUUCCAUGUUGUGGAUAGCUGCUGUAAUUUUUAGGUAUGUUUUUCCCUGUUAACACUCUUUUGGGUAUCAACAGAUUUUCUGUUGCUAAAUAAAAGCUUUGUUAAUUAAACUGUC